rnacentral:sRNA from 1 species
AAUUUGUGGGGGGUUUUU